GCCGGGCGUGGUGGCUCAUGCCUGUAAUCCCAGCAAUUCGGGAGGCUGAGGUGGGUGGAUCACCUGAGGUCAGGAGUUCAAGACAAGCCUGACCAAUAUGGUGAAAUCCUGUCUCUU
rnacentral:SRP_RNA from 1 species